AAACCAUCUGAGGAGCAUCAGAGAGGUCGUCGGCUUAUUUUCAGCCCAACCACACCAACCACAUCCUUCCCGUGUGUAGUGGAACAACAACAACAGCGCGUUCCUCGUAACUCAGAGGCUGGACACUUACGGCAUGAGGCUCAGUUUCGGGUCGAUACGGAGCGCUUCUCGUUCCCUGAGUGCUGCUGAGGGAAAGCACGGGUUCUCUAACCUUUCUCCAUGUUGGGGACGGGGUCUUCGCGCAUCACUGGCGAGGUAAGAGAGAUGGUGACCUGCAUUUUUGGU